CAAAGCGUAGCUUAAGCUAAAGCACCUGGCUUACACCCAGGAGAUAUUAUAAUAACUAGUCGCUUUGAA
rnacentral:tRNA from 1 species